AUGGCAGGAAGAUUCAAUAAAAAUGGAUCGGUAUGUGAUCUACCAAAUGGGGGCCAAACAAGACAUCAGUCAGUUCUGUCAACAUCUACCUCCAGUGAGAUAACGGUCACCUCACCUCCGGCCUCCCCUGAGCAGGAAGAUGCACCAGAGGAAGAUCAGUCACCCUUUCUGAGUGCUGAUACUGAUAAUUGUUUUCAGAGGAUAAAAACACACAGAGUUAUUGUGGGAGUGGUGGUUCUAAUUGGAGUUUUAAUUGGAGUUUUAAUUAGAAACUUUUACUACUCGGUUCCAACUACCAACCCACACUUGAAUGAAGGAACCAAUGUUACUACACCAAACCCCCUGACAUCAGGCAAUUACAGCCUUCAGACAACGGUCAAAACGGGUAAGUCACUAACUACUACUUUCGGUUUCAGUUGGACAGGGGUUAGGGAGGGAAUUUUGUAUCAAUUCCACUCCGUUAAGAAAGUGAACCCAAUUCUGGGGCCCUGAAUGGCGCAGUGGUAAAAUCCCUACCUCACAGUUAGCUGUGUCGCUCUGAGACCAGGGUUUGAGUCCUGCUCAUUGGCCGGCACCAUCUGGGUUUGGAGAGUUGGUUGCCUUCCCUCAUUGCACUUUAGUGACUCAUUCUGGGAUCUAGGGUGUCCGUGAGCUCAAUCAAGGUAGGCUGGAGAAUGCUUCCCUUCUGGCGCACAAGGAUUCUCUGUUAGACUUCCUGGUUUAGUGAGCAAUGUAACUAAUUGACCAGGACGUACAGGUGUAUUAAAAUGACAGUGAAAUUAUCAAUUAACUCUGCUGGUCAGGUGUGGUAGUUUGGACAAAAUCAUGCUGUACCUACAGCACUAGAAAUGUGGUAUAUUGUUCUCUAUUUUAACCAGAUGAAAACAACACACAAAAUCCUUACUAUUUCUCACCUGAGAAAAAAUCCUGGAACGACAGCAGACUGGACUGUCUUCAGAGGGGAGGACAGCUGGUGGCAAUCAGCAGCAUGCCAGAACUUGUGAGAAAUCAUUUUACUGGCUUUGCUUUCACAAUGUAAAUAUUUGUUCUGUACCAAAAACUCAUUUUAAAUCAAUUGAAAGACCAAGGGGGAGAGAAAGUCAAGAUAGAGUUUCCUUUAUAAUUCGAGAAACUGUUUCCUUCUGUCACUUUAGAAUUCAAUUAUUCAGAUGGGCAAAUGGAUGAAGAUCGACCAAAUGUGGGUCCAGUCUGAAGAUCGCUGUGCCAAAUUGGAUUUUGAUGAUAAAUGUCUAAAAAAGAAUCUUACAGUUGAAGAAUGUAAUACAAGGAAAGCGUUUGUAUGUAAAAAUGUCAUGAACAGGACUUAAAAAUAUCCUGUAUUUCAUCCGGCCCCCUCCGCCGACUGUCCCGGCCUCCGGCCCCCUCCGCCGACUGUCCCGGCCUCCGGCCCCCUCCGCCGACUGUCCCGGCCUCCGGCCCCCUCCGCCGACUGUCCCGGCCUCCGGCCCCCUCCGCCGACUGUCCCGGCCUCCGGCCCCCUCCGCCGACUGUCCCGGCCUCCGGCCCCCUCCGCCGACUGUCCCGGCCUCCGGCCCCCUCCGCCGACUGUCCCGGCCUCCGGCCCCCUCCGCCGACUGUCCCGGCCUCCGGCCCCCUCCGCCGACUGUCCCGGCCUCCGGCCCCCUCCGCCGACUGUCCCGGCCUCCGGCCCCCUCCGCCGACUGUCCCGGCCUCCGGCCCCCUCCGCCGACUGUCCCGGCCUCCGGCCCUCCGCCGACUGUCCCGGCCUCCGGCCCUCCGGCGGCUCUCCCGGCACCUGAUCCUCUGUAGAUUAGUCAUUGUUUUCCGUUCGUGUUUGGUUUGUUUGUUGUUUAUUAAAACCCACGAACAGAUAUCUGCCUGCGCCUGGUUCCUUCAACACCACACCACGACGAAGUGUUACAACAAGCUGUACACUCUCUACUUUACAUUGUAGCAAAGUGUCAUUUCCUCAGUGUUGUCACAUGAAAAGAUAUACCCAAAUAUUUGCAAAAAUGUGAGGGGUGUACUCAUGUCUGUGAGAUACUGUAUAUUGUACAUUCACUAUUCAAAUGUUGAUAGUGUGUUACCACAUUUUUACUACUUCCCUCAUCUACCCCAGAUCCAUUGACAUUAUCAGAGAGUUUUAUUGCCAAGUAACUUUCACAACAAACAAGGAAUUUGUUCUAUUAAUAAAGUUAAAUAUGUAAUGUGCAAGAUUUGUCCAGUUGGUUGGGUGUGCAAGUUUAUAUAUCAAAUGUACCGAAUAACACAGUGCCAUCCUGCACGAUGAAAUUCUUGUGACAUGGCACCCGACAAAUUAUGAAGAAUAUAAUAAAGCAAAAUUAUAGCAAAAAAAUCUAAUAUAGCAAUAAUAUACAUAAUUGAAAGAGUAAUGUAAACUAGCAGCAGUAUGGGUAGUAUUAUUGAACAUUAUAGAUAUAACAAGUAUGGCAAUAAUAUACAUAACAAUGUAAACUAGCAGCAAUUUAGAAGGAGUAGGAUGAGGAAAAUGCACAAUAUGGGUAGAAGUAUUGAAUAUUAUAGAUAAAUUAGUGUAAUAUGCUUAUGAAUGGGAAUAUUGUAGUGUACAUUGAAAGUGCCUGAAAAGACAUCAGAACAUCUGGAAUGUUCAUGUGUGAUCAGUGUGAUCAUGGAUCAGUGUUGCUGGUUGAGGAGCCUCAUGGCCUGAGGGAACAAUGCUGUACUAUGCUUUGGGAUGCACGAAUCUUCUCGCAUACUAAACUGGCCAGUGGCGUUUUUAUAUGUAAAAUAUUGGUGGGGCACAAACCAUUUCAAAAUAUAGGAUUACAUAGCAGUAAAGCUACAAAACUCCCUCUUGCUAUUUAACACAUCAACAAACAGCGUGGCUUCACAAAACACUUUUAACGACAAAGCGGCUUGCUUCUACCAGGUGUUGUAGUACACAUACACUACUGUUGUUUGCUCCUUGGGGUUUAAGGCCGGGUGUCUCUGUAAAGCACUUUGUGACAACUGCUGUUGUAAAAAGGGCUUUAUAAAUAAAUUUGAUAAAUAAAUUUGACAUACUGGAGAGAGAGAGAGACCUUCUUGUGAGAGACCUUCUCUCUCACACACAUGUAAAUUACCCCUGUCACAUUUACAAACCUAAAAUGUACCAAUGUGUUGAGUCACAGCUGUCCCAUGGUAUUGCGAGUGAAGGUUUUUACCUUUUUCAAGUUGGAAAAGUUCCUCUCUGACUCGGAUGUCGUCAUAGGUGUUGUUAUGAUAAUUUUCAGCAGAGUGACGGUCUCAACAAAAGCCUCCUAGGUUGUUCUUGUUGGAUACAAUUUUAAUAUUGUAUGCAUUUAUUAAUAUUACUACAGAAUUGUGCUAACAUGACUAACCUUUGAUUAACCUCUGUGAGGAGCUUAAUGUCACCCAUACAUAAGGCUUGUGCAAGAACUGACAUUUACUAAAUGCUGAUGUUGUUUCCUAUUAUUCGCUGGCUUUAAGCAAAAAUGUUACUAAGAGUAGAAAUGACCAGACGAACUGUCUGAUGUACUGUCUGAUGUACUGUCUGAUGUACUGUCUGAUGUACUGUCUGAUGUACUGUCUGAUGUACUGUCUGAUGUACUGUCUGAUUUACUGUCUGAUGUACUGUCUAGAAUAAUAGAGCUGUGGUUAAGGGUGAUAAAAUUACAUACUAUACUGUUUCAUUCACGUGUUUCCUGUUUUCGAUGUAUGUUGUCGAGUAGAAAAGGGUCAGACAGGGCAACAUUAAAACAGUCUAAGCACUACGAAGGGAGAGAAAUAGGACAGGGUGUGACAAGGAAGUAUUCAGAUUUGUCUACUGACAAGUAUAAAAUGUAUGUGUUUUUCCAAUUGUAUCAGAGCUCUCAGAUUAAAUGCUUAAGACCAGUUUGCUGUUUCCAGUGUGUUCUUUUGAUUUACAACUAAUACGUCCGAGCCUUUCAACCUCUGACUAGUGAUUUUGAGCCUGACAGUUCUCAUGGAUGGAUCUUAACAGAGGCGUCUUACGGCAGAGUCCAGCUCUGAUGUAGAAUGACAGGACAAAUUGUGCGAAGAGCGAGCUGUCAACCAGCUUGGCAAGCCCAUUCAUCAGUUUCCGCAUAUUCUGGACAUUCUCCUUGAAACGGGUGAGCGCACUGCUAAUCCCAGAUGCAUUGAUGCUCCGUUUUUGCAGAGUGUUGUAUAAAACAUCAACUUCUGACAUAAGGAGGAUUAUUUUUUUGACAGGCCGUAUGCCUCACUUAUGAUGGCCUCAUCCCAUCCUGGUUGUGUGCGUAUGUCCUCCAACCUCUCUGUCACUGUAUUGUCAGGCAACAUGUUUCGCAACACCACCACCAUUUGUGAUAUACAGGAGCCAUCAGUUGUCUCAUCUGCCUGU
ensembl:lncRNA